GAUGAAGAACGUAGUGAAAUGCGAUACUUGGUGUGAAUUGCAGAAUCCCGUGAACCAUCGAGUCUUUGAACGCAAGUUGCGCCUCAAGCCAUUAGGUUGAGGGCACGUCUGCCUGGGCGUCACAUAUCGUUGCCUGAUGCCAGUUUCCUCGUGAUGGGUGACUGUGCAGGGCGAAUGAUGGCUUCCCGUGAGCAUUGUUGCCUCAUGGUUGGUUGAAAAUUGAGUCCUUGGUAGGGAGCGCCGUGAUAGAUGGUGGUUGAGUGACGAACGAGACCCAAUCAUGUGAGACCCCUACCGAAUUUGGCCUUCAUGACCCACAUGCGUCUUUGGAACGCUCAUGACGAGACCUCAGGUCAGGCGGGGCUACCCGCUGAGUUUAAGCAUAUCAAUAAGCGGGGA
rnacentral:misc_RNA from 1 species